rnacentral:tRNA from 1 species
GGGCCGUUAGCUCAGCUGGCAGAGCAGGGGACUUUUAAUCCCAAGGUCGUGGGUUCGACCCCCACACGGCCCACCA